UUCACGUGUUAAACGUUCUGCUAAUUUUCCUGAUUUGCCUACAACAGCAUUCUAUGAUAGUGAAACUUUCACAUCUAAUUAUUCUGUAAUAGACAAAGAAGGUUCUAUAAAUGAUACAGCAAGAAUUCCUAUUAAAUAUAAUUACACUGUUCAAGGAAAAACAACACUUACAAUUAGACAUCUUCGUCACUUUACGGAAUACAUCAUUAAAGUUAAAGCCUGCCACGGUAAUGAGCAUAAUUCUACAUGUAGUGUUAAUGGAAUCACCACUGUUCGUACUUUAAGCCAUGAAACUGCCGAUAAUAUAGACCCGAGUACUGUUCAAAUCAAUGCAGAAAAUGCAAGCUCCGGAAUAAUAUAUUUGAAGUGGGACGAGCCGGAAAAUCCAAAUGGUUUAAUUGUUUAUUAUCAUAUUGAGUACAAAAUAUUGGAUAAUAAAAAUAUCGUUCCAAUAUGUAUAACACAAUUGCAAUAUCAACAAUAUAAAGGCUAUCAGCUGUUUAAUUUGGAUUCGGGUAACUAUUCUUUGAGAUUAAGAGCCACUUCUCUAGCUGGAAAUGGCAACUGGACUUCUCCAUUUUUCUUCCACAUUCCAGAAAG